rnacentral:rRNA from 1 species
ACAUGCCUACAACAUAACAUUAAUGCAUUGGAUCCCAUUAGAACUCCGCAGUAAGCGCGCUCAAGAUAGAGUAGCACUAGGAUGGGUGACUUCCCGGGAAGUCCCAGUAUGGUUUUAU